GGGACGGGUUGAACGGGUUAUGAGAAGAAAAAAGGAACGGGUUCUCUAGGGUUUCUUCUCAGUUCUACUCACAAGUCAAAAGCAGCGGGCGACGACCUCCGCCAUCUCCUCCGCCACCUCCUCCGCCACAGACCUCCGCCGUCUCCUCCGCCACAAACCCACAUCGUCUUCGACGUCUCCUCCGGCACAAACCCCCACCGUCUCCGCCAUCAUCUCCUCCGAGCGUCGCCUCCAUCAGUUUACAAAUUUCACUGUUUUAUUGAAUCAAGAGUUGUGCUUGUUGACAGAAUAUGCUAUGCUAUCCCAAGAUUUUUAUCUAUUGGUGGCUUGAAGAAACUGAUUAUAUUCAUCAGUUCAUAUGGUCUGCAGUGAUGUCGUCUAUAAGGGUAUAUGAUCCAUUUACAUAAAGCAUUGUUUAUUGGGAGAUCCUAAAAGAUGUGUCUCACUUGAACCUGAUGAAAUAACUAACAAUCUGCUAAUCUUAUCUUGGUCUCAAGGUAAGUUCAGAUACCCUUAAGAGGAUAUGAUUUCUAGGUGAUCAACAAUCUUUAGCAUAUUGUUUUUUGUUAUAUUUGAUCAAAGUUUCUUGAAUGUAGACUUGUAUUUUUGAAUCUUGAGAAUAGAAUUUGUUAUAUCAGUGACAAAAACUCUCUCAAGCAUAUCUAUC
rnacentral:lncRNA from 1 species